GUCGAGGAUCUUCGGCAAUGGGCGCAAGCCUGACCGAGCGACGCCGCGUGUGCGAUGAAGGCCUUCGGGUUGUAAAGCACUGUCGAGGGGGAGGAAGCCGAAAGGUUGACCUAUCCCUGGAGGAAGCACGGGCUAAGUUCGUGCCAGCAGCCGCGGUAAGACGAACCGUGCGAACGUUGUUCGGAAUCACUGGGCUUAAAGGGCGCGUAGGCGGUCAAUCAAGUCUGAGGUGAAAUCUUUCGGCUUAACCGGAAAAGUGCCUUGGAUACUGAUUGGCUGGAGGGAGGUAGGGGCAGCUGGAACUUCCGGUGGAGCGGUGAAAUGCGUUGAUAUCGGAAGGAACGCCGGUGGCGAAAGCGAGCUGCUGGACCUCUUCUGACGCUGAUGCGCGAAAGCUAGGGGAGCAAACGGGAUUAGAAACCCUAGUAGUCC
rnacentral:rRNA from 1 species